rnacentral:rRNA from 1 species
CGGGUGAGUAACACGUGGAUAACCUACCUAUAAGACUGGGAUAACUUCGGGAAACCGGAGCUAAUACCGGAUAAUAUAUUGAACCGCAUGGUUCAAUAGUGAAAGACGGUUUUGCUGUCACUUAUAGAUGGAUCCGCGCCGCAUUAGCUAGUUGGUAAGGUAACGGCUUACCAAGGCAGCGAUGCGUAGCCGACCUGAGAGGGUGAUCGGCCACACUGGAACUGAGACACGGUCCAGACUCCUACGGGAGGCAGCAGCA